UGGGGAAUUUUGGACAAUGGGGGCAACCCUGAUCCAGCCAUUCCGCGUGAGUGAAGAAGGCCUUCGGGUUGUAAAGCUCUUUCAGGUGGAAAGAAAACGCAUAGGUUAAUACCUUGUUCGGUUGACGGUACCAUCAGAAGAAGCACCGGCUAACUACGUGCCAGCAGCCGCGGUAAUACGUAGGGUGCGAGCGUUAAUCGGAAUUACUGGGCGUAAAGCGUGCGCAGGCGGUGAUGUAAGACAGAUGUGAAAUCCCCGGGCUCAACCUGGGACCUGCAUUUGAGACUGCAUCGCUAGAGUGCGGCAGAGGAGGAUGGAAUUCCGCGUGUAGCAGUGAAAUGCGUAGAUAUGCGGAGGAACACCGAUGGCGAAGGCAAUCCCCUGGGCCUGCACUGACGCUCAUGCACGAAAGCGUGGGGAGCAAACA
rnacentral:rRNA from 1 species